CACGUAGUUAGCCGGGGCUUCUUAGUCAGGUACCGUCAUUUUCUUCCCUGCUGGUAGAGCUUUACAUACCGAGAUACUUCUUCACUCACGCGGCGUCGCUGCAUCAGGGUUUCCCCCAUUGUGCAAUAUUCCCCACUGCUGCCUCCCGUAGGAGUUUGGGCCGUGUCUCAGUCCCAAUGUGGCCGUCCGCCCUCUCAGGCCGGCUACCGAUCGUCGCUUUGGUGGGCCGUUACCCCGCCAACUGGCUAAUCGGACGCGGAUCCAUCGUAUGCCGAUAAAUCUUUUCACACAGUACCAUGCGGUAUUGUGCGCUUAUGCGGUAUUAGCAGCUGUUUCCAACUGUUAUCCCCCUGCAUACGGCAGGUUAUCCACGCGUUACUCACCCGUCGCCACUAACUCGGAAAUCACUAGGUUCAAUCCGAGUCCGUUCGACUUGCAUGUGUUAGGCACGCCGCCAGCGUUCAUCCUGAGCAGGAUCAAACUCU
rnacentral:rRNA from 1 species